AUGCAGAUUUUUGGGAAAUGGUCCUUGCUAGCCAUGAGUAAUAACCGACCAGGUAAAAUCCAUUUAAUUAAUAUUUAUUUCAUUCAGUCUGGUCUUGUUCUCAUGUUUGUCUUGUCCUGUUUGGUUUGUGUCCCAUUAACAUUCAUUAUAUAUCUUGAUACUCUAUGUGUAUCAUUAUAUUUACCAGGUCUAAGGACUUUCAAUGAGCUCUUCACUGAAAAUAUCUGGUGGGAAUUCUUGCCCGGGGAACUCCACAACAAAAUCAAUGCCAACAGUUAUGCCAAAAUUGUAGAAUGUGGUCGGUACAACGCCACUCUAACUGUGGAAGGCAACCAGCUGAGCUGGACGUACAUUCCAUCACUGUCUUCCACUGCUGUGUUGCUGCCUACCUGUCCGGACUGUCUGGUGUCCCUGAUAACCAGCACCAUCAAUGGAAACGUCUACACUGCUCUGAGAAUCUUCAGUAAGAGACGGGUGCUCACAGAUGAUGAAAUGCUGGAGUUUGAUACACAAAUUGAAUGUCUCAAAUUGCCACCUAGAUACACUGUCAAUCCCAAAGAAGACCUUUGUCCAGCCAACACUCAGCCAUUUCCUGAAACAAAUGACUUCAAGAUGGCCCUUUUGGACUUCAUGGAGAUGAAUGCAGUCAAGAAAAUAUUGAGAACAACUGAUAAUUUCUUUGAGAGGAGAUACAGUGCAGUUGUGUUGAAUUGUUUUCAACGUGUUGGUCAAGCAUUUGAUAAGGUGAAGGACUGGUUUCUCAGCUUCCUGUAGGUUUUCAGUCCUCUAACCUCACAUAACUGUUUCUGCUAGUUAAUAUUGCAAUGAGCAGUCAGUGUGUAUAAUCUGGGGUGUGUAGUUCUUUUUUUAGAACCACUUAGUCCCAUAAAGGAUCCUUCCAAUUCACCCUUUAUGACGUGAAGAGCAAUAGGACUCUUUUAUCUUUGAAUGGUUGUUCUAGAAACCCCCCAUGUUCCUGAACUCCGCGCCCAUUUAUAAUUAAGCUGAUUAUGACCACCCAAUCUGUUCUAUUCGUUGCCUUUCUGCUAGAAGGUUUUCUCAGCUGGAACAAGAGCAUUCCUCGUAAGACUUCCACUGUACAAGUGCGGACCGUUGUGUGUACCUUCUUAUGUUUUACAGUUUUUCUGAAUCGCUAAACAUUAAAACUCAUUCUCUGAACCAAAUUCUCAGUGGCCUAAACCCAUUUCUUGAAUCAGUCACUCUUUUGGCAAAACCUAAAACAAAUUCAGGUAGUUAAACACCAAUUGACAAAUUGCAUUCACUCUGUUAGCAAAACUCUAAACACAUUCUCACUCACUAAAUCACAUUUUGCACUGUCAUACAUUUGUGUUGCAAAAUGAUAAAUGCGGGCGGCAAAAGCUAAACACAACUACAACACAGUUGUCAUCGUUUACACACACUGACUCAAAAUAGUUCACACUUAUUUCUAAUAAUGUGAUCAAACCCAGUGUUCAGAAUAUAACUUAGUUCAAUGGACACAGGUGGCACAGGUCUGAGACAGAGGAGAAGAUGACAUGUCAGAGGUGGUGGAUGAUGAGGAAGAGUAUGUGUAAGAGGUGGUGGAUGAGGAGGAAG
ensembl:lncRNA